AUUGAACGCUGGCGGCAGGCCUAACACAUGCAAGUCGAGCGCAUGAAGGGAGCUUGCUCCUGGAUUCAGCGGCGGACGGGUGAGUAAUGCCUAGGAAUCUGCCUGGUAGUGGGGGAUAACGUCCGGAAACGGGCGCUAAUACCGCAUACGUCCUGAGGGAGAAAGUGGGGGAUCUUCGGACCUCACGCUAUCAGAUGAGCCUAGGUCGGAUUAGCUAGUUGGUGGGGUAAAGGCCUACCAAGGCGACGAUCCGUAACUGGUCUGAGAGGAUGAUCAGUCACACUGGAACUGAGACACGGUCCAGACUCCUACGGGAGGCAGCAGUGGGGAAUAUUGGACAAAGGGCGAAAGCCUGAUCCAGCCAUGCCGCGUGUGUGAAGAAGGUCUUCGGAUUGUAAAGCACUUUAAGUUGGGAGGAAGGGCAGUAAGUUAAUACCUUGCUGUUUUGACGUUACCAACAGAAUAAGCACCGGCUAACUUCGUG
rnacentral:rRNA from 1 species